CCUACGGGUGGCAGCAGUGGGGGAUAUUGCACAAUGGGGGGAACCCUGAUGCAGCGACGCCGCGUGGGUGAAGAAGCGCCUCGGCGCGUAAAGCCCUGUCAGCAGGGAAGAAAGUGACGUUACCUGUAACAGAAGCCCCGGCUAACUACGUGCCAGCAGCCGCGGUAAUACGUAGGGGGCAAGCGUUAUCCGGAUUUACGGGGUGUAAAGGGGGCGCAGACGGCGAUGCAAGCCAGGAGUGAAAGCCCGGGGCUCAACCCGGGGACUGCUCUUGGAACUGCGUGGCUGGAGUGCAGGAGGGGGAGGUGGAAUUCCUGGUGUAGCGGUGAAAUGCGUAGAUAUCAGGAGGAACACCGGUGGCGAAGGCGGCCUGCUGGACUGAAACUGACGUUGAGGCCCGAAAGCGUGGGGAGCAAACAGGAUUAGAUACCCCGGUAGUC
rnacentral:rRNA from 1 species